GGGCUCACACAAGCGGUGGAGCAUGUGGCUUAAUUCGAGGCAACGCGAAGAACCUUAUCCUGGGUUUGACAUGUACGGAUGGCUCGCCUGAAAGGGAUGAGUCUGCCUUCGGGUGAAACGUACACAGGUGCUGCAUGGCUGUCGUCAGCUCGUGUCGUGAGAUGUAGGGUUAAGUCCCGCAACGAGCGCAACCCACGUCUUUAGUUGCCAGCAUUUAGUUGGGCACUCUAGAGAGACCGCCGGUGAUAAACCGGAGGAAGGUGUGGAUGACGUCAAGUCAUCAUGCCCCUUACAUCCUGGGCUACACACGUACUACAAUGCUACGGACAAAGAGCAGCAAGUUCGCGAGGACAAGCAAAUCCCAUAAACCGUGGCUCAGUUCAGAUCGUAGGCUGCAACUCGCCUACGUGAAGGAGGAAUCGCUAGUAA
rnacentral:rRNA from 1 species